rnacentral:rRNA from 1 species
GUGGGGAAUAUUGGACAAUGGGCGAAAGCCUGAUCCAGCCAUGCCGCGUGUGUGAAGAAGGUCUUCGGAUUGUAAAGCACUUUAAGUUGGGAGGAAGGGUAGUAACCUAAUACGUUGCUACUUUGACGUUACCGACAGAAUAAGCACCGGCUAACUUCGUGCCAGCAGCCGCGGUAAUACGAAGGGUGCAAGCGUUAAUCGGAAUUACUGGGCGUAAAGCGCGCGUAGGUGGUUCAGUAAGUUGGAAGUGAAAUCCCCGGGCUCAACCUGGGAACUGCUUUCAAAACUGCUGAGCUAGAGUACGGUAGAGGGUGGUGGAAUUUCCUGUGUAGCGGUGAAAUGCGUAGAUAUAGGAAGGAACACCAGUGGCGAAGGCGACCACCUGGACUGAUACUGACACUGAGGUGCAAAAGCGUGGGGAGCAAACAGGAUUAGAAACCCGUGUAGUCC